GCGAGGAGGCAGACACUCCUCCAUGCAACUCCUCUGUUGGAACAAUGGCCUGUAGUAUAAAAGUUUGUCGACUCUGUGUUGCUUUUGGCAGAUGAAGGUUGAGCCAGUGCAGCAACCAGACAGACUGGAUACUGAGGGCUAGAAGGAAAUGUCUUCAACAGGUACCUAUCUCUGUAUUGAUUUAAGAUGGAGCCUGGAUGACUAGCUCUGAUUAGGGAGCAGACUUUUGGAUGGCUACAGUUCAGAGGGGUUCUCUCACAACCAGCAGAAUAAAAUCUCUAAAAAUUUUACAGAUUGGAAUACACAAGGUAAGUUUCCUCCGAAAAUACAGUAGAGGGUAUUGAAUCUGUUUAAAUAAAWCACCACCACAGAUGUGAAACAGGAUGUGGUUCUGAUUUUAGAUACAACUCUCUGGAAAACAUUUCUGCACUCUCUCUCUUUCAUAUAUAUCCAUAUAUCUAGAUAGAUUUAUAUAUAUAUAUAGCUAYAGAUAUGGGGACAUAUAUAAACACCACAUUAAAUUAUAAUUUUCUGAACUUUUGGAUUAUCACAAAUUGUCAGAGUAUGGCUCUCUUCUAUACAGGUAUAUAAAAUUUAUUGUGGAUCCCAGUUUUUUUGGUCACAAGCACUAUUUUAAUAGUGCAUUUUGACAGAAGAGCAUCUGCACUCAACAGGUAAUCUGGCCAGUAGAUUUAAUCUAACAUCUGCAAUGAGGUUUCUCGCAUAUUAUAAAAAUAAURGGUUUGUGCCUUAUUGAUAUGUAAGGUUCAUCCCUUCUGUUUCUGUAAAUAUUCCUUUUCUACAUAAAGCAAUAAUGUUCUAGUCCAGGGAACAUUAAUGAAAUAAGUUGAUUCUGUCUCCAAUUGCCUUGUUUUUAUUUUUCCAGAAAUACAUUUCUGAAUAAUUUUUGUUUUUAUUACUGUGAUUCUACAACAAGGUUUACUACAGUUCUUAGCAGCAUAAACAGAAGAAUGUCAACAGUAGAGGCAGAUGAAUUGUGUAGGGCAUUGAUGGAACUUUAUUGAAAAUGAUUCAGUGAAAAGCUCUAGAAAUAGUGACAGUAGAAAAUGUAUCACUGGUAUAUGUUUAGAAUCUAUUUAAGGUUGACUUAUUCAAAGAAGAUACCAUAAUAUGCAGCUGAACCUGAGAAUAUUUAAAGGCUGGAAAGGAGUGUGUUCAUCCCGGAGGAGUACACCCAAUAAUAACCUACUUGCUGGGGGAUGAUUAGAUGCGACUUUAAAGGUUUGUCUACUGCUUAUGUCUCAAAUUCGAAACCAGUAUUUCUAUUCUGUAAAUGGACAAUCUACCACACAAGGUACUGGAAUAUUUUUUCUAUUUCUUCCAUUUCCUAUGGGAAACAUUCUUUCUUGCCUCUUGUCUCUGUCCUUCUAGAAAAGGCCUGACUACAUGUUUAACUUGCCAGCCUUAAUUUAAAGAGAGGUGUGCUAGUUAGCAUUAACAAGAAUGCAUAAUUUGAAAGCAAAGUAAAAAUAUUUUUUCCAAGACUCCUUUUCUAGUUGCAUUAUUCCAAAAGAAUUAAUUCAUUAAAGUAUGCUCAAUGGUAUUAUGUCUCGUUGUUUACUUAACUAAGAGUCAGGUCCUCUGUUAAAACUGGUAUGACUCAAAUUCAUAGCUUAUGAAUUAUGAAAGAAAUGCAGAUUCUAAAUUUUAGCUAAUUAUUUUAAAGAAGUGUCUAGAGAUCCUGAGUCCAGAAUUUUCUCUUCAAGCUGUAUGUGGUAUGUAGACUACAACAUCAGGAAUAUUAGGAAAGAAUUGUAAUAUCAGGUAUAAGAGAAUUUAAACAAGUCUAUUUCUCAGUACAACUGUACUAAAUUAAAAGGUAUACCKGAAGCAUCAAGAGUAAAGAGUCAAUAAGAGUGCUGAAAAAAGCGUAGUUUGAGACAUACAUAUAUUUGUAUCUUGAAAAAAUAAACAAUAGAGUUAAUUAUAAAAGUGGAAAUGCUUUUGGUUAGAUCUCCCCCAAAAUGGUAUCCCUCCCUCUAUUCUUGGUCCUCUAAUGCCUGUCCACAUUCUAGUCCACUUUACUAAUCCCUCCUUUUUCCUCCMAUUAUACUCUGCUUCUGUUCAGUUUAGUUGUUGCCAUUUUGCUUGUUUACAUAGCAUUCCAUAUGGAAUAACUCACAACAUUUUCUACUUCAUACCUACAGAAUUCCCCUUUAAUUGCAGCAAUUCUUAAUAUUAUCAAAAGCAUGCUAAACACAACAGGUUAAAACAAGAAAUGAAGGCUACAACUAAUACUGCAGGAAAAAUCUGUGUGGGCAGCAGUCACCACAGAUGGGAUUCAUUCAGUAUACAGCUCUCAGUUCAACCACCCACAUAACCCCCAUUAUAAAUUCCUAGCGAAUACACUUCAUUAGCUCUGAAGAAAUCUCUACUGUCUCUCCCAGCAGAUCACUGAAGGUACUGUCAUGAUAUGGAUAUAAAAGUUAAAGGUCAUAUMAAUUAAAAACUGUUCCUUUAUGAUCCUUUAGAAGGUCAAAAUAAUUAAGCAUGUUUUCAUUAGAUGACAACCAAUAAAAUAAUUUGAUGAACCACUACCAAUUUUAUCCUUUAUAAGUAUUCUUCCUGCUAGUAUUGAGCAUUAGGAUAUCAUCAUCUAAUGGUUCUCCCUGUUCCUUACUUGUUCAUUUGUCCCAAUUAAUGAAGUCAUAGAAUAAACUGGAGAAAGCAAUGUGCUGUCCCAGGGGAAGGAAGCACAGCUCUGCCUUUGCUGGAGCACAAGCUGACACUCCUGAUUUSUAUACAGGGUGGAGUUCUGCGUUCUUUUUAUUGCUCCGACUGUUGACGCUGAUGACAGYUCUUACAGGAGAGACAGUGCUUUGAUCCUGUGCGUGGCUGCGUAUGAGGAGCACUCUUGCACUGCCUUAUGACGAGAGACACAAUGACUUAGGGAACUUGGCUCAGUGAAUGGGAAGACAAAAAUUCUGAUUCUUCUGCCCCUUUUCUGCAAAGCACCCUUCCCCAACUGUUGUGCUAUAAACUAGUUAUUAAGUAGCUUUGCUGUAAACAGAAUCAGAUGGGUCUAAAUUAAAAUGGAAAAAACACCAAGCGCUUCUUUUGUUAUCCUAGAGGAGGAAAAAUCCAUAAAAUUAUGAAAAAAUGCUUGAUCUGAUUCAUAAAUAGUUGUAUCAGCACAACUGUGAGGAACAAGGCACUGAGGUGUAAGGGUGCAAACUCCACAAGCUGGUCUAGCUGCUAAAGUACUCAUACUGUUAAACCACAACCAAAGACAUCAUAGUACCCUGAGCAGAAAUUAAUUAAAACAUCCAAAUCAUCCAUUCUUGUGGUGGUCAGUUCAUUUUGAGUUAGGAGACAGUAAUUGUUUCCACGUAUUUUGCCUGCAGCAGUGGAGUAGACUACACAAGACUCUUUUAUUUAUGAGCUUUUAAUAAAUUACCAAAUCAGCCAUGUGGCUUUAUGUUCUUAAAAAUAUUAGCUGCUAAAGGUCAUGGAAUUAUAAUUUGAAGUUUGAUGUUCAAGCACUAUCUUGUCACUUCUUGUUCCUCUACCUAAUGAAUUGUUAACUAACAUAUUUAAUGCCUCGGGGAAUCUCCAUCUUACUAUUCUUUCCUUYCUAGUAACUUUACAGAUUUCCGUGAAUGAAACAAUAGAGGUUUCACACACUGAUUUCCUCCGUUUGGUUUCAGCCAGCUGGUGCUGAUGUCACACACAAUCACCUGUGUCUAACAAGCACCUGAUGCUGUUCCUUCCUUAGGGACUUAAAGUACAAUACACAUGUACCUACCAGCUCUGCAUUGGCAUUUCUACUACAAACAGGGGAUUGCUGUCAUGAUUCAGAUAAACAGGAGACUAGUUCAGCUGUUUUUGUUACUUUGGAUCACUUCCUGCAGCUUUACUCAUCCUCYCAAUUAACAUAAAUACACAUUUGGKUUUUUUCCAAGUUAGCCAUUAAGGAGGUUAAGUAGGUUGGGCCUUGUGACUAAUGUUUCCUUGGCUCUGACUGUAUUUUCCUGCUCCCCUAGAGUAUUCUAUCAUACUUUAUUAACAUGCAAGAGAAACUCUGAGAUUCCUAAUUGUACAACAGCACUUGAAAUGUUCUAGAAAUCCCCAAGCUCCAAAAUGAGAAAUCCCAGCCAUAAGCAUGGAGGGGCAAAUACAGAAGUACUUGUAAUGUAAAAAAACACCUUGCAUUAGCAUUGUCAUUAUUAAUACUAUUUCCUAAUGCUGAGUUUUCAUGUUUUGUAUUGAUUAAAAAAAAAUCACCAAUGCUACAACAAAACUUAGGAUACUGCUGAUGUAAUUGGGUUAAGCUCUUCAACCCCUACAGAUCUUUGUUGUUCCACCAACAGGGUAAAGAUAAUAAGCAGUCAGGUUUUGUCAUUGCUGAUGCCUUAUCACURGCAAUAAAUUAAAAAUGCAGUUGCUUAACUAUUUUACUACAUAAAAUUUAAAUGUAAUGCAUGUAAUGCUGCUUUAGAAAUGUCAGCAAUAUAAAGAGGCAGCAGCUAAAGGUGAUCCAUCAAUGUGCARUAAGAAUAUCCCUCAUCAGUGUUUAGUUGUGAAUCAUGGUGAAUAUUACCUCAAUGGAUUAAAGUCCUCAUCUUACAUAGUCAUUUGCAUAGAAAAUGAGUUUGUUCAGGAGCUGAGUAUUGUGUGUAUAAACACUUACCUGGAACAAGAAAAUCUUUUAAAGUUAGCUUUAGAAAUCACCUUAGCUAAAAUACUAAAAAAGAAAAAAGACACAUUCUAAAAUAAGAGRAUUCACUUCAAGGGUGGGUACUCCUUGCAAUGUUUCUCUACUGAGGACUAUGCCUCAGGUCCUAGUGCUGCAAUGRCAUUGAUUACUCUUUCCAUACCUCACAGUAAAUAUGACUCUUACAAUGCCUUAGUUUGCUUCCCUCUAUUGUGUUUUACAUUACUUCAGCAUAGAGGAGCAGGAAGUAUAGAGACAGUACUGCAGGUGUUACACGUUAUUGGUGUGUUGAUUUCUGCUUUCGAGUCAAGCCAUUGACUGAAUUUCCUCCUGUAGGCUACUCAAGUAAAAAACC